rnacentral:rRNA from 1 species
GACGAACGCUGGCGGCGUGCUUAACACAUGCAAGUCGAACGGAAAGGCCCUGCUUUUGUGGGGUGCUCGAGUGGCGAACGGGUGAGUAACACGUGAGUAACCUGCCCUUGACUUUGGGAUAACUUCAGGAAACUGGGGCUAAUACCGGAUAGGAGCUCCUGCUGCAUGGUGGGGGUUGGAAAGUUUCGGCGGUUGGGGAUGGACUCGCGGCUUAUCAGCUUGUUGGUGGGGUAGUGGCUUACCAAGGCUUUGACGGGUAGCCGGCCCUGGAGGGUGACCGGCCACAUUGGGACUGGGAUAACGCCCCGGCUCCUACCGGGGGCAGCAGUGGGGAAUAAUGCACCAUGGGCGGAAGCCUGAUGCAGCAACGCCGCGUGCGGGAUGACGGCCUUCGGGUUGUAAACCGCUUUCGCCUGUGACGAAGCGUGAGUGACGGUAAUGGGUAAAGAAGCACCGGCUAACUACGUG